GCCGAAGUGGCGGAAUUGGUAGACGCGGCGGAUUCAAAAUCCGUUGUCAGCGAUGACGUGUCGGUUCAAGUCCGACCUUCGGUACCA
rnacentral:tRNA from 1 species